rnacentral:rRNA from 1 species
AACGAACGUUGGCGGCAUGGAUUAGGCAUGCAAGUCGCGGGAAUCCAGCAAUGGGGAACCGGCGUAAGGGCAGUAAGGCAUGGGUAUCUACCCAGGGGUUCGGAAUAGCCACCAGAGAUGGUGGGUAAUACCGGAUGACGUCGUGAGACCAAAGGUCCGCCGCCCUUGGAGGAGCCCAUGUGAUAUUAGCUAGUUGGUGAGGUAACGGCUCACCAAGGCGAAGAUGUCUAGCGGGUGUGAGAGCACGACCCGCGCCACUCGCACUGAGACACUGGCGAGACACCUACGGGUGGCUGCAGUCGAGGAUCUUCGGCAAUGGGGGCAACCCUGACCGAGCGAUGCCGCGUGCGCGAUGAAGGCCUUCGGUUGUAAG